rnacentral:rRNA from 1 species
AGCGAACGCUGGCGGCAUGCUUAACACAUGCAAGUCUCACGGGCAGCAAUGUCAGUGGCGGACGGGUGAGUAACGCGUAGGUAUCUAUCCUGAGGUGGGGGAUAACCGUGGGAAACUACGGCUAAUACCGCAUGAUGACUGAGGUCCAAAGGCGCGAGUCGCCAUGGGAGGAGCCUGCGUACGAUUAGCUAGUUGGUGGGGUAAAGGCCUACCAAGGCGACGAUCGUUAGCUGGUCUGAGAGGAUGAUCAGCCACACUGGGACUGAGACACGGCCCA